UGCAAGUGGUCGGGAAACUAUUAGAUAUGAGAGUGUUAUUCAAAACAAUUGUGGCUAGUUUUACCGAAAGAGACUGACUCAAUUGGUCAUGAAAAAUAGUUUAGUGAAAAAU
ensembl:ncRNA T01C1.6 ncRNA